rnacentral:rRNA from 1 species
UACGUAGGGGGCAAGCGUUGUCCGGAUUUAUUGGGCGUAAAGAGCGUGUAGGCGGCUAGGUAGGUCCGUUGUGAAAACUCGAGGCUCAACCUCGAGCUGUCGAUGGAAACCAUCUGGCUAGAGUCCGGAAGAGGAGAGUGGAAUUCCUGGUGUAGCGGUGAAAUGCGCAGAUAUCAGGAAGAACACCGAUGGCGAAGGCAGGUCUCUGGGCAUUAACUGACGCUGAGGAGCGAAAGCAUGGGGAGCGAACAGG